rnacentral:rRNA from 1 species
UACAGAGGUCUCAACCGUUGUUCGGAUUCAUUGGGCGUAAAGGGUGCGUAGGCGGUCGCGCAAGUCGGAUGUGAAAUCUCAGGGCUCAACCCUGAAACUGCAUUCGAUACUGCGUGGCUCGAGUGUUGGAGAGGAGACUGGAAUUUACGGUGUAGCAGUGAAAUGCGUAGAUAUCGUAAGGAAGACCAGUGGCGAAGGCGAGUCUCUGGACAGCAACUGACGCUGAGGCACGAAGGCCAGGGGAGCAAACGGG